rnacentral:lncRNA from 1 species
UCAAGGAAUGUGAUUUUCCGGAGUAAAAAGUAAAAACACACAAUCAAGAGUAAUUAUUUAUUUAUUUUUAUUCCUUUUCUCCUUUCAAAAUCUCUCUCUAUUAAUUCACUUACUCAUAUGUCUACACAUCUAAACCCUAAAAACUAACCAAAGAGAAAUGUGUUUCCACUUGCACAAAAUCCAAUUCCACACGUUUGUUUCCAAACCAAAUUUUACAAAGACGACUCUGAACCAGGGCUGUGAUAUUUCUAACUGAACUUUAAAAGAGAAAAAUCAGACACAUUUUUUUUUUAUCAAAGACAGGAGACUCGAACCCUCGACCUUUUAAUUGAGUACGGAGAGACUAUGCCAUUUGAGCUAUUACUCAUUGGCAAAUCAGAUGCAUUUCAUUUGAAUAAAAAGGAGGUAUGGUUUAAAAGGUGAAAUGAAUGAUUUGUGGUGCACAAAAACUUGUAAACGGAGAACUAAACGCGGCGAUCCUCAACGAACAAAACCAAUUCAAGAUUCGAAAAAAAUUAAAAAAGAAAAAGAAAAAAUGAGGCGAAUUUUAAUGAGAGAAGCAAAAGGAGAUAAUCUGGAAUUGGAAGCGGAAGCAGAGAAAUAACAAAAUCAGAUUACGAGAAGCAGCAGAAGGUUACAGGGGGUACCUUUGGCAAUACGGAGGAAUAGUGGGUAGAGAAAGAGAGGCCUCUGCUGCUCAAGCUCAA